UGGGAGGUGGCCCAGCUGGCAAAGUGCCUGCCUAGCAUGCAGGAGGAUGGGGUUCAAGCCCCCAGCCCUGCAU
rnacentral:tRNA from 1 species